ensembl:piRNA 21ur-1561 ncRNA
UUGGAUUGUUAUUAUGAUUCC